AAACAAGAUACAGAAAGAAACGCUAAGACGCACCGCUGAUCAAUUUGGCAGUAUUUUCCCGAUUCUAACAUGCCCCCAAAUCAAGCGCACAGCAAUUUUAUAUGUGUCGAAAGUAGAAAAAUAAGGUAUAAAUAACAUUAAUGCUUCUUAACAAAGUAGAAAUCUAAUGUACACCCCAUCUAAUGACACAGUGG
rnacentral:lncRNA from 1 species